rnacentral:misc_RNA from 1 species
UGUGGGAGCGGGCUUGCCCGCGAUGAGGCCUUCAUAUUCGGCAUCCAAGUUGGCUGAUACACCGCCAUCGCGGGCAAGCCCGCUCCCACA